GAGAGCCCGCUGUGAACAGAGCCGGAAUUGGACGGCAGUUGGGGGCAGCUGUACCCUGCUAGAGGCGGCGCACGGACCCCACCCACCUGCACGAUGGUCCCACCACCCCCCAGACACUGCACCACACCAGCUCAGGCGCACGAGAGACAGCGUCCACGAGAGAUAUUGUCUCCAGAAGCGAGAUUGACAGGAGCCUGAGCCAAUGAGAGGGCGCCUCUCGGCAAGUUGGCGGUUGGCCUGCCGCGGAGGACCAUUUGGCCAAUGGGCAGCCAGGCGAGCUGCAGUGGGCGGGCUCUCCGAGUAGCUGGCGGAUGGAGCGGCGGCCGCUGCUCGACAGGGUGGGCGGGGGCGGUGCGGGCUGAGGAGCUCGCGGGCCUUUAGGCGCCGCCUCAGCCCCUGCCGGCGAGGAAGCGCGAGCAGCGGCGGUUCACCCCCCGCGCGCGAGAGCCCAGGUGGCCCGGACCCAGGAGUAGAAGCAUAAAGAAGUUUGCUUUAUGAAGGCUAAUGAGUGACUCAAGUAACAGUUUGAAGCGGCAUAACUGCUGGACUGGUUUUACAGAGCUUUUGAAACGAGAGAUCUACAUCUCUCAUUCUUGUUGGUCAAGUGACGCUAAUGGUGGAAUAAACUGACUUCAGUACAACUGAUCAAUCCAAAUUGCAAGUACCGUAUAAACAAGUGUGAUGUUGAAAUGAGAUGAGGCUCCGAAAUGGAACUGUGGCCACUGUGUUAGUUUUCAUCACUUUUCUCAGUUUGUCCUGGUACACUGCAUGGCAAAAUGGUAAAGAAAAGCUGAUUGCUUAUCAACGGGAAUUUCAUGCUUUAAAGGAACGUCUUCGCAUUGCUGAGCAUAGGACCCUGCAGCGUUCCUCUGAGCUAAAUGCCAUCUUGGAGCAAUUCAGACGUGCAGUAGCAGAAACAAAUGGAAGUAAGGAUGCAUUAAACAAUUUUUCAGAUGAAACACUGAAAUUGUUAAAAGAGCUAAUAAGCAGAAAAUCUCUUCAAGUGCCGAAUAUCUAUUACCAUUUGCCUCAUUUGUUGAAGAAUGAAGGAAGCCUUCAGCCUUCUGUGCAGAUUGGCCUGGGACGAACAGGCGUUUCAAUUGUAAUGGGAAUUCCCACCGUGAAGAGAAAAGUAAAGUCUUACCUUACAGAAACUCUUCACUCCCUUAUUGAUAAAUUGUCUCCAGAAGAGAAACUGGAUUGUGUUAUGGUUGUCUUCAUAGGAGAGACAGAUCUUGACUAUGUACACAGCGUUGUAGCAAUCCUGGAGAAAGAAUUUUCUACAGAAAUCAGUUCUGGCUUGGUGGAAAUAAUAUCCCCACCUGCAACUUACUAUCCUGACUUGACAAAUUUAAAAGAGACAUUUGGAGACUCAAAAGAAAGAGUCAGAUGGCGAACAAAACAAAACUUGGACUAUUGUUUUCUUAUGAUGUAUGCCCAGAAAAAGGGCAUUUAUUAUAUUCAGCUUGAAGAUGACAUUGUUGUCAAGCAGAAUUAUUUCAGCACGAUAAAAAAUUUUGCACUUCAACUCUCUUCUGAGGAUUGGAUGAUUUUAGAAUUUUCUCAGCUGGGUUUCAUUGGUAAAAUGUUCCAAGCUCCAGAUAUCACUCUUAUUGUAGAGUUCAUAUUUAUGUUUUAUAAGGAGAAACCUAUUGAUUGGCUCUUAGAUCAUAUACUCUGGGUGAAAGUCUGCAACCCUGAAAAAGAUGCAAAACAUUGUGAUAGACAGAAAUCUAAUCUACGAAUACGCUUCAGGCCUUCUCUUUUCCAACAUGUUGGCCUGCACUCCUCCCUAGCAGGAAAGAUCCAGAAACUCACGGAUAAAGACUUCCUGAAACCAUUAUUACAUAAAAUUCAUGUGAAUCCACCGGCAGAAGUUUCUACAUCUUUAAAAGUCUACCAAGGACAUACACUGGAAAAAACCUAUAUGGGAGAGGAUUUUUUCUGGGCUGUUACACCAAUUGCUGGGGAUUAUAUCCUAUUUAAAUUUGACAAACCAGUCAACGUAGAAAGAUACUUCUUUCGUAGUGGCAAUCCAGAGCAUCCAGGAGAUAUUCUACUAAAUACUACAGUGGAGGUUCUGCCUUUUAAGACCUUAUUUACAAAGAGCAGACUUUCAUUCAGAAGAAGGCUUGGUAAAAGGAAGAUAGGUAAUCUGGAGGAGAACAGUCUUUAUUCAUCUAUUUUUGUUUAGCUGCUGUUUUGUUUUGUUUUAAGAAUUGGAUUUUGGAGGAAUUGGCUUCACUCCGCUUCCUCAUUUUUCAUCCACUGAGUGUCCAGCCUUAAAGAUCCUGCAUAAAUCCAGCUAAGCAGAUAUCUUGGCAUCUUAAUUGUCAAGUUAAUAGAACAGAGUGUGAAACGUUCUGUUCCUUCUACACAACCAACCUGGAUUUUACCUCAAGAUGGCAAUGCAGUGAAUAAAGACCAUUCCAGUCUGAUGUCAGACUCUAACCACUGUACCUAAAGGAGAAUCUUUAGUCUUUUUCACCACAAAAAUUUCUAUUCCAAUAGCAAAGACAUUACUUCAAAAAGAGGGUUAUUUCAGUCAGUAUGAAAAGAGUAAUCUAAAGUAUUUGUGUCCAAUUUCAUUGCAGUUGAUACACAUCUGAUGCAGAUAUUUUUAGCUGGAAGAACCCUGACCAUUGUGUCUGGAAGAUUAACAUAUGAUGAUUCAAAGUGAUAUCAGAGCAGUGAUCUUGCUAGUAUUCCACUCUCCCCUACUUUAUUCCCACUGCAUCCCCCACACAAAUCCUACCUUCACUCAUGAGAUAUUACUUCACAGUUUUAAUCGAAACAAGACCCUCUUUCCUCUCCCCACUUCCUUGUGUUGUGAGAGGCCAAACUUAUUGAUGCUCAUAGAUAUAUUACAAGAGUGAAAUUAUAAAAAAAGAAAUAACUGCUCAAAAUGCAAAAAUUAUUUGGAAAGCUGCAUAAUUUCACAAUAGAAAUAUCUUUAGCCAAAUUCAGAACUGGCAUAAAGAGGCGUUAAAUGGAGUUGUACCCGAAUUAGGCCUGAAUUUGGCUCAUCAUAUUUACAUUCAACUGGGUAGAGUUAAUUUGAUUUAAGUUCACUAGUUUACCGUGGAGGUCAGCUGGAAAAGAUAGGAAACAUUUCAGACAGGAGCCAGGUAAAGAGUGGUGUAUCUUGAUAUCCCUUUCUCCUAGUGUUUGAUUCUUGUUGUUUCGUCAAGAAAAUUUUUCUUUUAAAAAAAUCCAUAUAUUUAUCAUGUAUACAAUUCUAAACAUCAUUAAAAUUAUUAAUUUUAAUACAGUUUACAUUUCAUCAUACUAUUUUACAUGUCUAAAUAAAGCCCAAAGAUGUAUAGAAAGACAAUUAGAAGCCUUUAAACGGGGUUAAAAUACGUUGCCAACUCUUGUGAUUUUUAUCGUGAGUCUUGCCAUAUUCAUUGUUUUUUUAAAUCCUUAGUUUCUCAAGUCAAGCGAUUACAUGAAGGCAUUAGCAUUUUUAAAGGAAAACAAAAAAUAAAGUAAUUUUCUAGCCCUUCUGAUUGCAGAGAAAACUUUGAAAAGUUUGAAAGCGAUAUAUCUUGAAUUUAGCAAAGCUUUUGAUACAGUCUCCCACAGUAUUCUUGCCAGCAAGGUAAAAAAGUAUGGAUUGGAUGAAUGAAUUAUAAGGUGGAUAGAAAGCUGGCUAAAUGGUUGGGCUCAACGGGUAGCAAUCAAGGCUCAAUGUCUAGUUGGCAGCCGGUAUCAAGCAGAGUGCCCCAGGGGUCUGUCCUGGGGCCGGUUUUGUUCAGCAUCUUCAUUAAUGAUCUGGAUGAUGGGAUGGAUUGCACCCUCAGCAGGUUUGCGGAUGACACUAAGCUGGGGGGAGAGGUAGAUAUGCUGGAGGGUAGGGAUAAGAUCCAGAGUGACCUAGACAAAUUGGAGGAUUGGGCCAAAAGAAAUCUGAUGAGGUUCAACAAGGACAAGUGCAGAGUCCUGCACUUAGGGCAGAAGAAUCCCAUGCACUGCUACAGGCUGGGAACCGACUGGCUAAGCAGCAGUUCUGCAGAAAAGGACCUCGGAAAUUACAGUGGAUGAGAAGCUGGCUAUGAGUCGACAAUGUGCCCUUGUUGCAAGAAGGCUAACGGUAUAUUAGGCUACAUUAGUAGGAACGUUACCAGCAGAUCGAGGGAAGUGAUUAUUCCCCUCUAUUUGGCACUGGUGAGGCCACAUCUGGAGUAUUGCAUCCAGUUUUGGGCCUCCCACUACAGAAAGGAUUUGGACAAAUUGGAGAGAGUCCAGCAGAGGGCAACGAAAAUGAUUAGGAGGAUGGGGCACAUGAUUUAUGAGGAGAGGCUGAGGGAACUGGGGCUUAUUUAGUCUGCAGAAGAAAAGAGUGAGGUGGGAUUUGAUGGCAGCCUUCAACUACCUGAAGGGGCGUUCCAAAGAGGAUGGAGCUAGGCUGUUCUCAGUGGUGGCAGAUGACAGAACAAGGAGCAGUGGUCUUAAGUUGCAGUGCGGAAGGUCUAGGUUGGAUAUUAGGAAAAACUAUUUCACUAGGUGGGUGGUGAAGCACUGGAAUGGGUUGCCUAGGGAGGUGGUGAAAUCUCCUUCCUUAGAGGUUUUUGAGGCCUGGCUUGACAAAGUCCUGGCUGGGAUGAUUUAGUUGGGGUUGGUCUUGCUCUGAGCAGGGGGUUGGACUAGAUGACCACCUGAGGUUUCUUCCAACCCUAAUCUUCUAUGAUUCUAUGACCUGAGGACUUGUCUACAUAUGGAUAUCCAGAAAAAUUAAUCCAAAUUAACUAAAGGUGUGAAUUUGAAGGAGAUUAGCUAAACCACAUUCACUUCCAAAGUGAAUUAAAAUAAACCCAAUUAAGGCCACUUUAAUUCUGAAUAACAGUGUCCAAACAGUGAUUUAAUGUGCUUUAAUUAAACCACUUCACCUUUAGAUAAUUUAGAUUAAUUUUCCUGGAUGUCCCCAUGUAAGAUAGCUGUUGGUAUACCAUAAAGGCUCAUAAUAUAAAAGGCAAAAAAAGAACUCAACAUAUAUUUGAACUCAUUAUUUUUCAGAUAAACUCCUAAUUAUUGAGGCCUGACAUAGGAUGUUUGAACACCUGAGUUUGGCAAUACUGUAACUCUAAGCCAACAGUUUAUAGACGCAACUGCUCUAUUCAAAAAUCCUCCAUACAAGAAAGGAAAGAUCAUCCAUAAACCGAAUAUAUAUUCCCCACUUCUCCAGGCAUGUUAUUCCUGCGUUCAGUUUUCCCUUUGCUUUGUUCUUGCCGAGGCAGGGUCAGUUUUGUCAAUCAUUGGGUAGGGACUGGUUCCCCAUUCAAAAAAAAACCUGCAAUUCAGUCUGCCUUCUGUGAGCAGAAACAGGCUGUUUCCAGACUUCCUGCUUCCCAAAAAUAGAGAGCAUAGGAAAAAAGCCUACUUAAAAUUGCCAGUUUGGUUCUGAAUAUCAUGCUCUUUUUUCCCCGUCAUGUUUAAUGAUAAAGCUUUCAGGUUUUGUUUCUCAGGGCUUAGGCUAGGCUUGCUCAAAAGCAUGCGUCAACAGCCUCACCCACAGGAGCUCGAGAUAUAGUAGCAAAACCCAAGAAGUAGCCUGGAACAAAGGGAUCCUAAGAUCAUCUCCCCUUCAGCCUUGCCUGGCUGAGGGAGUUUUGCAUCUUCUAUACCCAGGAGCAGCCUUUGCUCUCCUGCUCUGGCUGCUAGCUAUAACUACCAGCUCCCAGUGCUGGCCACCAGUAGGAACAGCUCCCCUGCUCUCAGCACAGUGCCACAGCACGAAGCAUACACCCUACCAGCACUGAGGUAACAGCACUACAAUGGCUGGUGGCCCUGCAGGAAGCAGACCCAGCUCAGGUGGCCCCAAGGAUUUCCAGCUCUGUUUUGACCUGUGAACCACAGACUCCAGCAGGGCUGAAUCCAAAUUCAGUGGCUGAUGCCGGACAGAAACUUAAAGCUGAGUUCAGUAAAAAUCUUUCAAAUCCCAGAAUUCCUACAGGAUGGAUUGGCUCUAGGUCUUAAAGCAACACACUCCAAAAACCAUUUUCAGCCAUCUUUUUAGUAAUAGAAGAAGCAAACCUUAAUGGAUUUCCUCUCAUCCACCUAUCAAGCAUUUUUGAUUAAUCACCAGGAAUUCCCCAGAGUAGAGCCUUUGGAUUUAGAUCAUCUGACCCUGGAUGAAAUUACUAGACUGUUGUUCACAUUCCUUUCUUCAGUUUCAUUUUUCUAUCUCUUUAUUAAAGUGAGUUUACUAGUGUCCAUCCCCUUUGUACAUGGAGGCAUUGUGCCUUUUCUAGAGGCAUUGUGUAUUGAAGAAUCACAAAUAUUGUAUUUUUCAUAUUGAUCAGGUGGCUCUUCAUCUCAAAUAUUUUUUUACCAAAAGUAAAUUAGGAAUUUCACAGAUCCCAGGAGAUAGUCCUCCCAUCAUUCUCUACAAAGCCUACGCAUCCAAAAGAAAAGCUCCAGCAAAUAUUUUAUUUCCACCAAGCUGUUAAGAUCUACCUGGCAAGAAUGUAAAUGUAUAGAAAAGUCAUCCUGCAACAAGAGCCAAAAAAGAGCAUCUAAAGCAUUAAUUGCUAGAUAGCUGAAGUAUUGCAUUAAAGAAGCCUAUGAAGCAGGCUUACAGGAAAGAUAAAGCUCUUCAGACAAGGACAUUAUUUACUUCCUGGACUGAAUGAAGACUUGGUAUUAAGCAAAGAAACCAAAGACAAACGCUUAGAGGACGGUUAUUUCAGGAUAG